rnacentral:rRNA from 1 species
GAGGUCCAGCCUGCCCAGUGACCGCAAGUUUAACGGCCGCGGUAUUUUGACCGUGCAAAGGUAGCGCAAUCACUUGUCUUUUAAAUAAAGACCUGUAUGAAUGGCUAAACGAGGGCUUAACUGUCUCCCAUUUCAAGUCAGUGAAAUUGAUCUACCCGUGCAGAAGCGGGUAUAAUUAUACAAGACGAGAAGACCCUUUGGAGCUUAAGGCGUAAAACUCAACCACGUCAAGCGACUCAAUAAAAAGCAAUUUUUCUAAACCUUGUGGUAAAUGAGACCACUGCCUUCGGUUGGGGCGACCAUGGAGGAAAAAUAAGCCUCCAAGUGGAAUGGGAAAAUCCCCUAAAACCAAGAGAGACAUCUCUAAGCUACAGAACAUCUGACCAUAAAUGAUCCGGCUAACCAAGACCGAUCAACGAACCAAGUUACCCUAGGGAUAACAGCGCAAUCCUCUCCCAGAGUCCAUAUCGACGAGGGGGUUUACGACCUCGAUGUUGGAUCAGGACAUCCUAAUGGUGCAGCCGCUAUUAAGGG